rnacentral:rRNA from 1 species
UCGCCUACGGGGCGCAGCAGUGGGGAAUCUUGCGCAAUGGGCGGAAGCCUGAACGAGCGAUGCCGCGUGAGUGAAGAAGGCCUUCGGGUCGUAAAGCUCUGUUGCGGGGGAAAAAAGGCAGCAUCAGGAAAUGGGUGCUGACUGAUGGUGCCCCGCCAGAAAGUCACGGCUAACUACGUGCCAGCAGCCGCGGUAAUACGUAGGUGGCGAGCGUUAUCCGGAAUGAUUGGGCGUAAAGGGUGCGCAGGCGGUCCUGCAAGUCUGG